CAGGUCCUUCAUGUCAACAGGUCCUUCAUCAGCAGGUCCUUUGUCAGUAGGUCUUUCAGGUCUUCCAUGUCAAGCAGGUCCUUCAUAUCAGCAGGUCCUUCAUGUCAGCAGGUCUUCCAUGUCAGCAGUUCCUUCAUAUCUUCCUGCAGGUCUUAAAAAAUGGAUACAUAGUUUUCCUGUAUUAUCUGUAACAACACCUCCCAGCCUUGGCCUCACCUCCUCCAGCACUAUGAGGAUUAGCAACAACCAAGACAUCAUGCUGCCACAGACCAGCCACAGCACCAUCUUAACUGUAAAAUGGACACAUUACUGCUGGACCAUACAGACAUUUCGUGGCAGUCCCAGUCAUUCUUCAAUGCAGACGACAAGAUAACACCUGCCAACCUUGGUGGCUCUGAGACACUGAACGAGUCAAUACCACAACCAAAACAUCAUGCUGCCACAGACCAGUGCUGCAACAACAUCAUGAUUAACUGUCAGUCAAUAGCAGACCCAUCCCUGCUGGACUACAUGUACACAUGUAUUCUUCCUGCCAGUGCCAAAGUUUCUUUACAACAGAGCAUAAGGCCGCCAUCUGUUGUGAUCCCUGAACAUCACAGUGAAGAAACUCAGGACUGCACAGAGAGCUAAACAAUGAAAACAAGCUGAACAUCAUGCAUCUUGCCAAAAUGUCCAUGCAAAAUAACACUGGGAUUUUCUGUCCUGUAGCAGUGUUUAAGGACCAGCUUAGCACUCCACAGAACCAUCUGUACAUCCAUCCAUAAUUUUUAGAAGAAGUGACUCAUCUGUACAGCAUUAAUCUCAUCCCUGAACAAGUUCUA